CCGAAACUCAUGUUAAUCUCAUUCAAGCCAUGCAAGACGCCGAGGCACGCCACUCACUGGUGCUUCGUGAAUUAGGCGACGAGAGAAGGAAGCAUGAGCAUGACACUGCCCAAGGUGACGACAUCAUUUAAGGACUGGAAAAAGAACGGACGAGACUUCGAGAGGAAUUGGAAGUGG